rnacentral:rRNA from 1 species
GUUUGAACAUGGCUCAGAACGUACGCUGGCGGCACGCCUAACACAUGCAAGUCGAACGAAGUAGCAAUACUUAGUGGCAGACGGGUGAGUAACAUGUAGGUAUCUGCCCUUUGGCCUGGAAUAACACGAGGAAACUUGUGCUAAUACCGGAUAAGUCUUUACGGAGAAAGCUUUAUGCACCAUUGGAUGAGCCUGCACUUGAUUAGUUUGUUGGUGGGGUAAUGGCCUACCAAGACUGUGAUCAAUAGCUGAUUUGAGAGGAUGAUCAGCCACAUUGGGACUGAGACACGGCCCAAACUCCUACGGGAGGCAGCAGUGGGGAAUCUUGCACAAUGGAGGAAACUCUGAUGCAGCGAUGCCGCGUGAGUGAAGAAGGCCCUUGGGUUGUAAAGCUCUUUCGUCGGGGAAGAAAAUGACUGUACCCGAAUAAGAAGGUCCGGCUAACUUCGUGCCAGCAGCCGCGGUAAUACGAAGGGACCUAGCGUAGUUCGGAAUUACUGGGCUUAAAGAGUUCGUAGGUGGUUGAAAAAGUUAGUGGUGAAAUCCCAGAGCUUAACUCUGGAACUGCCAUUAAAACUUUUCAGCUAGAGUAUGAUAGAGGAAAGCAGAAUUUCUAGUGUAGAGGUGAAAUUCGUAGAUAUUAGAAAGAAUACCAAUUGCGAAGGCAGCUUUCUGGAUCAUUACUGACACUGAGGAACGAAAGCAUGGGUAGCGAAGAGGAUUAGAUACCCUCGUAGUCCAUGCCGUAAACGAUGUGUGUUAGACGUUGGAAAUUUAUUUUCAGUGUCGCAGGGAAACCGAUAAACACACCGCCUGGGGAGUACGACCGCAAGGUUAAAACUCAAAUGAAUUGACGGGGACCCGCACAAGUAGUGGAGCAUGUGGUUUAAUUCGAAGAUACGCGCAGAACCUUACCAACACUUGACAUGUUCGUCGCGACUCUAAGAGAUUAGAGUUUUCGGUUCGGCCGGACGAAACACAGGUGCUGCAUGGCUGUCGUCAGCUCGUGUCGUGAGAUGUUGGGUUAAGUCCCGCAACGAGCGCAACCCUCACUUUUAGUUGCCAUCAUUAAGUUGGGCACUCUGAAAGAACUGCCAGUGAUAAGCUGGAGGAAGGUGGGGAUGACGUCAAGUCCUCAUGGCCCUUACGUGUUGGGCUACACACGUGCUACAAUGGUAUCUACAACAGGAAGCAAGACUGCGAAGUUAAGCAAAUCCCUAAAAGAUACCUCAGUUCGGAUUGCACUCUGCAACUCGAGUGCAUGAAGCUGGAAUUACUAGUAAUCGUGGAUCAGCGUGCCACGGUGAAUGCGUUCCCGGGUCUUGUACACACCGCCCGUCACACCAUGGGAGUUGGUUCUACCUUAAG